GGGAGGGAGUGACUAGUGACAGAGUGAGGGAGCGGGUGACACAGUGACAGAGAGAGGGAUGGGGUGACUAGUGACAGUCACCCCCUCCCUCUGUCACUAGUCACUCCCUCCCUCUGUUACUAGUCACUCCCUCACUCUGUCACCAGUCAUCCCCUCACUCUGUCACCAGUCACCCCUUCCCUCCCUCACUCUGCCACUAGUCAUUUUUUCCCUCCC